GGCAGAGCUGGCCAAGAGGACCCCGUCUACCCUGAGUGAGUUUAGGGACAAGGCAUAUGACUUUGUAGAUGCUGAAGAUACACUACAAGCCUUUGUAGACCCGAGAAGAGAUGAGCAGAGGGCAGAAUGUAAAACCAACCCAGGUGAUAAGAAACUUACGUCGGGUCAUUGGGACAGAAGACAAGAAAGGCGAUCAAAGCACAGUAGCAGAUUGAUUGAUAAAUGGUCAAUUAAGUGGUAUUAAUACUCUUAAAUAUCUUGAGUUAAAAGUGCUUUAUGAGUUAAAAUAAGAGUAUUAAUUAGAUAAUGUGACUUAACUUUAUUUGACAUGCGAAAUAAAAUAUUACCCCUAAUUAAACAUAGAUGCAUGCAUUUUGAUGUGGGGCCGACUAAUGCUUACGUAAAACUUAUAUUUGAAUCUUGGUCGGUGUCCAGGAGUAAAGCCAUUCCCUACAUAGUUGAAAAAAAAAAUCUAUGAAGAUAAAACACUACUCAAGCCCACGUCCAAGCUGAGAAUGAUUUUAAUUCAAAAAGCAAGUGAAAGAAAUAAAAUGAAGGGAACACAAGGGGGCACUCGGACAGCAGAGGAAAUGGCGUGGCCUCUGGCCUCAACAGAGGAGAGCCAAUCACGGACAGACAGCACACACAUUGCAAAACAGGAGCAACGCAGCACGUUGCAGGAGAUCAGUUAUUUUAUUUCUUUCUUUUUCGAGUAGCUGGAUGUGCAGCAGAUCAGCAGAAGAAUAAAACUGCUGGCCCUCAACUUUGACAGAGCUGGACUUCACUCAAAGAAGAGAACAUGCUAGAGUGCUUUUUGGUUCUACACCUGGGGACCACUCGGACGUGCAGCAGCAGCAGAGAGUUAUUUUUUCUUUCUUUUUUGUUCAGUUAGCUGGAGCAGCAGGAGAUCAAUUGCAUAUCACGUUGGAGACCGCUGGACGUGGGCAGCACAUUAGAAUCUCAAGUUGGAAUCUCAUCUAUGAGGUAGCAUGUUGCAGACGCUAGCUUCUACGCUUGGAAUACAAAAUUUUAAGUUGAUCAUUGAUGUACAACAAUCUAUAUGUGCAAGAAAGGAAGGAGCUAGACAGAGUGUAUCGCUAGUCUAGAGCAAGCAAUCGUUAUUGCAAAUAUCAUCAGAAGAGUUCCAUUGGACAGAAGACUACACAACCAUGAAGACAAGAGUCACUGAACUGGCGGGCACGGGAGAGUUAGAGCGAAUAGUUGCAGAACGCUCGAAGCCUAAGCGAUGGUACGAACGAGAGCACAGCCAGCAAAGAGAGGACAACCCAGAUAGGUGGCAAGAUGCUCAUUGCAACAACGGAGAUGGAGCACCCUCAAAUGAUGAUAGGGACAGGGGUCCUCAAGGUGAAAUCAGAUGAAGUUUCCAGAUUGAUGGCAAGACAAGAGAAACAUAUGGUGAGAAGCCUUCUCGCCCUCGGAAUACAGAGCACUUGGAGAACCUUACCCAUGAUAACAAAAUUUUUAUUUUCUAUUUGAUUUAUUGUUUUAUUGAUGAGAUUCUUUUCGUAUAUUUCUGGAACAUCUGGAAAAAUUAAAAUUAAUAAUUCUAUUUGUGUGCUUAAUAAAGUGCCCCUUACAAAUCACUCACUUUA